UACAUGGGGUGCAAACGUUGCUCGGAAUUAUUGGGCGUAAAGCGCGCGUAGGCGGUUACUUAAGUCGGAUGUGAAAGCCCUCGGCUUAACUGAGGAAGUGCACCCGAAACUGAGUAGCUAGAGUACGAAAGAGGGUCGCGGAAUUCCCGGUGUAGAGGUGAAAUUCGUAGAUAUCGAGAGGAACACCAGUGGCGAAGGCGAGUCCCUGGACAAAACCUGACACUGAGGCACGAAAGCUAGGGGAGCAAACAGG
rnacentral:rRNA from 1 species